rnacentral:rRNA from 1 species
AUACGUAGGACCCGAGCGUUGUCCGGAUUUACUGGGUAUAAAGGGUGCGUAGGCAGUUUAUCAAGUCAGGGGUUAAAAGCCGCAGCUCAACUGCGGAGCUGCCCUUGAAACUGAUAGACUUGAAUAUGAGAGGGGCUGAUAGAAUUCCUGGUGUAGCGGUAAAAUGCGUAGAUAUCAGGAGGAAUACCGGUGGCGAAGGCGGUCAUCUGGCUCAUUAUUGACGCUGAAGCACGAAAGCGUAGGUAGCGAACAGGAUUAGAUACCCUGGUAGUCUACGCUGUAAACGAUGAAUACUAGGUGUAGGGGGUAUCAACUCCCUCUGUGCCGCAGUUAACACAAUAAGUAUUCCGCCUGGGGAGUACGGCCGCAAGGCUUAAACUCAAAUGAAUUGGCGGGG